UACGGAGGGUGCGAGCGUUGUCCGGAAUCAUUGGGCGUAAAGCGCACGUAGGCGGUCCGUUAAGUCUCUUGGUGAAAGGCUGGGGCUCAACCCUAUGCAUGCCGGGGAUACUGGGGGACUGGAGACAGGUAGAGGCGAGCGGAAUUCCGGGUGUAGCGGUGGAAUGCGUAGAGAUCCGGAAGAACACCGGAGGCGAAGGCGGCUCGCUGGACCUGAUCUGACGCUGAGGCGCGACAGCGUGGGGAGCAAACAGG
rnacentral:rRNA from 1 species